UGGGGAAUCUUGGACAAUGGGCGCAAGCCUGAUCCAGCCAUGCCGCGUGAGCGAUGAAGGCCUUAGGGUUGUAAAGCUCUUUCACCGGUGAAGAUAAUGACGGUAGCCGGAGAAGAAGCCCCGGCUAACUCCGUGCCAGCAGCCGCGGUAAUACGGAGGGGGUUAGCGUUGUUCGGAAUUACUGGGCGUAAAGCGCACGUAGGCGGACCAGAAAGUUGGGGGUGAAAUCCCGGGGGCUCAACCCCGGAACUGCCUCCAAAACUAUUGGUCUAGAGUUCGAGAGAGGUGAGUGGAAUUCCAAGUGUAGAGGUGAAAUUCGUAGAUAUUUGGAGGAACACCAGUGGCGAAGGCGGCUCACUGGCUCGAUACUGACGCUGAGGUGCGAAAGUGUGGGGAGCAAACAGGAUUAGAUACCCUGGUAGUCCACACCGUAAAACGAUGAAUGCCAGUCGUCGGGUAGCAUGCUAUUCGGUGACACACCUAACGGAUUAAGCAUUCC
rnacentral:rRNA from 1 species